GACGAACCGUGCGAACGUUGUUCGGAAUCACUGGGCUUAAAGGGCGCGUAGGCGGGUCGGCAAGUCUGCGGUGAAAGCCCCCAGCUUAACUGGGGAAGUGCCGUGGAUACUGCCGGUCUUGAGGAGGGUAGGGGCAUCUGGAACAUUGGGUGGAGCGGUGAAAUGCGUUGAUAUCCAAUGGAACUCCGGUGGCGAAGGCGAGGUGCUGGACCCUUUCUGACGCUGAGGCGCGAAAGCUAGGGUAGCGAACGGG
rnacentral:rRNA from 1 species